rnacentral:rRNA from 1 species
UACGUAGGGGGCAAGCGUUGUCCGGAUUUAUUGGGCGUAAAGAGCGUGUAGGCGGUUAUGCAGGUCCGCUGUGAAAACUGGAGGCUUAACCUCCAGACGUCGGUGGAAACCGUAUGAACUAGAGUCCGGAAGAGGAGAGUGGAAUUCCUGGUGUAGCGGUGAAAUGCGCAGAUAUCAGGAAGAACACCCGUGGCGAAGGCGGCUCUCUGGGACGGUACUGACGCUGAGGAGCGAAAGCGUGGGGAGCGAACAGG